AUAUUUCUGGUCUAUUUGUUACCGACAAUACAAUUUUUGGGCUUUACUCUAUUAUAAUGGGGUCAUCUCUUUAUAUGCUGAAUCAGGAAAAUCACGGCGGUCAAGACUUAGCACGGAUUCUGUACAUCAUUAUAAACAUGACUACCACCUGUACACUUUUACAGGCUACCAAAAAUUAAGUCGAAACGGUAGAUCGGAUUUUUU
rnacentral:other from 2 species